rnacentral:rRNA from 1 species
GACAGAGGGGGCAAGCGUUGCUCGGAAUUACUGGGCGUAAAGGGCGCGUAGGCGGUCAGCACAAGUCAGUUGUGAAAUCUCCGGGCUUAACUCGGAAAGGUCAACUGAUACUGUGCGACUAGAGUGCAGAAGGGGCAACUGGAAUUCUCGGUGUAGCGGUGAAAUGCGUAGAUAUCGAGAGGAACACCUGCGGCGAAGGCGGGUUGCUGGGCUGACACUGACGCUGAGGCGCGAAAGCCAGGGGAGCGAACGGG